UACGUAGGGACCAAGCGUUGUUCGGAUUUACUGGGCGUAAAGGGCGCGUAGGCGGCAAUUCAAGUCAUCUGUGAAAUCUCCGGGCUUAACUCGGAACGGUCAGAUGAUACUGCUUUGCUAGAGUGCGGAAGGGGCAAUCGGAAUUCUCGGUGUAGCGGUGAAAUGCGUAGAUAUCGAGAGGAACACCAGAGGUGAAGACGGGUUGCUGGGCCGACACUGACGCUGAGGCGCGAAAGCGUGGGGAGCGAACAGG
rnacentral:rRNA from 1 species